rnacentral:rRNA from 1 species
AGAGUUUGAUCAUGGCUCAGAUUGAACGCUGGCGGCAGGCCUAACACAUGCAAGUCGGGCGGAAACGAUGGAAGCUUGCUUCCAGGCGUCGAGCGGCGGACGGGUGAGUAACGCGUAGGAAUCUGCCUGGUAGUGGGGGAUAGCCCAGAGAAAUUUGGAUUAAUACCGCAUACGCACCAGCUCUUUCGGGAGCGGUGGAAAGCAGGGGACCUUUCGGGGCCUUGCGCUAUCAGAUGAGCCUGCGUCGGAUUAGCUGGUUGGUGGGGUAAAGGCCUACCAAGGCAACGAUCCGUAGCUGGUCUGAGAGGAUGAUCAGCCACACUGGGACUGAGACACGGCCCAGACUCCUACGGGAGGCAGCAGUGGGGAAUAUUGGACAAUGGGCGCAAGCCUGAUCCAGCCAUGCCGCGUGUGUGAAGAAGGCUCUAGGGUUGUAAAGCACUUUCAGCAAGGAGGAAAGGUGAACGGUUAAUACCCGUUUGCUGUGACGUUACUUGCA